CGUAUCACCCAAGACAACUUUACGGAGUUGACGAUUGACGGAGCGAAGCGACGUCAAAGCGUUCAUUAAAGUCGAGUUGGCUUAGGGAUACGUUCGUUGGGUAGGGGAGCGUUCUGUAAGCCUGUGAAGGUGUGUCGUGAGGCAUGCUGGAGGUAUCAGAAGUGCGAAUGCUGACAUAAGUAACGAUAAAGCGGGUGAAAAGCCCGCUCGCCGGAAGACCAAGGGUUCCUGUCCAACGUUAAUCGGGGCAGGGUGAGUCGACCCCUAAGGCGAGGCCGAAAGGCGUAGUCGAUGGGAAACGGGUUAAUAUUCCCGUACUUGGUGUUACUGCGAAGGGGGGACGGAGAAGGCUAUGUUGGCCGGGCGACGGUUGUCCCGGUUUAAGCGUGUAGGUGUGUGUUCCAGGUAAAUCCGGUUCACUUUAACACUGAGGCGUGACGACGAGGCACUACGGUGCUGAAGCAACAAAUGCCCUGCUUCCAGGAAAAGCCUCUAAGCAUCAGGUAACAUCAAAUCGUACCCCAAACCGACACAGGUGGUCAGGUAGAGAAUACCAAGGCGCUUGAGAGAACUCGGGUGAAGGAACUAGGCAAAAUGGUGCCGUAACUUCGGGAGAAGGCACGCUGACAUGUAGGUGAAGUGAUUUACUCAUGGAGCUGAAGUCAGUCGAAGAUACCAGCUGGCUGCAACUGUUUAUUAAAAACACAGCACUGUGCAAACACGAAAGUGGACGUAUACGGUGUGACGCCUGCCCGGUGCCGGAAGGUUAAUUGAUGGGGUCAGCGCAAGCGAAGCUCCUGAUCGAAGCCCCGGUAAACGGCGGCCGUAACUAUAACGGUCCUAAGGUAGCGAAAUUCCUUGUCGGGUAAGUUCCGACCUGCACGAAUGGCGUAAUGAUGGCCAGGCUGUCUCCACCCGAGACUCAGUGAAAUUGAACUCGCUGUGAAGAUGCAGUGUACCCGCGGCAAGACGGAAAGACCCCGUGAACCUUUACUAUAGCUUGACACUG
rnacentral:rRNA from 1 species